GGACCUCUUCAGCUGCACUUUUCUGCCUUUUGGUGUUGAUUUACUUCUCAAGUGUGGUGCAAAGUUAAAAAACUGCUAGCAUGAAGACAUCAGCACUGACAGUGGGACUUAAAAAAAACAGACAUUGAUGCAUUUGCCCUUUUUAUUUAUGUUACUGUAAUUUGGCACAAAAAGCUUCAUUAAAGAGACAUUACAGCUGAGCCGGGACCAGAGGUAGUUCAUAAAGUGGAGCAGUGCUUUUUUCUGUCUACCCUUCUGAGUGUUGACACCUGAUGCUCCUGAAAUGCUAAGGCCCAAUGUAAAUCAUACGCUGUAGCAAUAUUAUUAUACUGUUGCAGGAAAGGCAUGGUGAUUGCACAGCUUUGUAAAAGCAAAAAAGGAGAGGGAAAAGUGUUUAUGCAGCUCUUAGUGUUUUUUACUCAAAGUUAAACUCUUUGUAGCAUGAGGUGCUGAUGUCUGUCUGCCUGCUUCUGAUUAUUAAUCUGGAUGUGACGUCAACUCUUAGUGUGUCUCAAACUUAAAAAAUAUUUUCAAAUUAUGAACAGAUAAACAUUGGUGAAUUCUUUGGGAGAUUAUUGUGAUACAGGCAAGCUAAUAAAAGCUACUUUUUAACCCAAUGGUAUGUGUCAGGGGAACCUAGAUUCAAAAAAUCCUCUGUAUUCGUAAGUGUUUUGGUAUUACCUUAAGAGAUGGAAUGCUCUUCAUAUUUUCUAAACAAAUAGUUGUAUGACAAUUAAGCAGGAGUGACGUGAGAUCUGCAUACUGACAAACAUGACAUCACACUUAAGCUGAAAAGAUACAGGAUCCAAAUUGAGCGCGAUCCGUCAGUGUUCCGUAGUUGUUCCAUAGUGCAGCCCUGGGUAUCGCCCACAGGAUGCGUAUUUGAAGCGUAGCAGCAGUGUAGUGCAGCCCCGGUCAGCUGGGCUCAGUAUAGAGGAAACUACAUGCUCACAACAGGUUGUUUUGCCUUUCUGUGGUCUAUUUCCUGCUAAUUUGGAUAUAAUUCAGUGACUGUUGAGCUUCUACUAUAUAUGAAAAAACAACACAAUUUUACAGAUUCGGUUUUUGCAGGGUUAAGGUCCUUUCACACGGGACCGUUUUUGUUUCCAGCUUUUCUAGCCAAUCAGAGGCAAAGGAGGAGGGACUUUCUCCGGGAAGUCUUCCCCAGGAUGCGUCUUUUUCCCCCCGGAAAGUCGCAAAAUCGCAUCGGGCUUGAUGUGUAUAGUCAGGCGCAUCAAAAUUCACCUCUGAAUAUUUCAUAAUUUCUCAUUCUAUAUUCACGCUAGCCCCGGUGUGUAAGGACCUUUACUCGUGUUUAAUAAAGUAAACUAUGUUCCUUUAUGCUGUGCUGUUACCUUCAGACAGAGUUGGCAGUUCAAAGUCCUGUUGGGGUCAACAUGGAUCAGGGAUUGACCAUCGGAUUGUUCUGUGUUACUGAUAAAUCCAGGAAGUAUUUCUCAUCUACACCAACUGAUACACAGUCGGGAGUCAGCAUAUGGUGUUUUAUUUUGAAGUUUACCAGACGACAUGUGCGUUUUUCGUGUUUGACAUCCUGUCUAGAACGAUCUUCUCUGUCUAGAGUGACGCAUGUUGGAAGCGUCGAGCAGAGAAAAUAGACUAGUUGCCUAUGUUUAGCAGAGCUGCGCUCAAUACGAUUCUGAUACAAAGCUGCAACAGAGCUGAUAUGCAUCCUGUAUGUGACGCUGCAUUGAUCUGAAUGGCAACUGAUUUGCUGCAUGAUAUGCGACACCUAUGGCACGCGCUCAAUAUGGAUCCUGUAUGUUUUAGCCUCUAAUGGGACCAAGCACCAAAUGCUUGGCAUAUUGUGCAGUUACAACCCAGUUAGUGGCAAUAAAAUAAGAAAGACAGUGGCAAAUAAAAGAUGAGUUCAUGGCUUGUGGUAAAACUGCUUUUGCCCAAAUUAAUCACCAAACACCUGUGUAAAAAAAAAAAAUCAUCACUCAUACCUGCUUUAUUCUUUGCUGGGGAAAACCUUUUUCUGUUUUUGCCUAUGCAAACUUUGUGAGAUUCAUUCAUGGUCUAAAACAUACAGCCAUGUUUCAUACUACAUCACCCUGCAGUGGUAAACACUAGUUUACUCAACUGUGAAAACUUUGUAGCAUGGCAACAGUAGAUGAAGCCUCUAGAGCUCUGGCCAAAUAGAGGGAAGUGGGUUUGCUUAAGUGGUCAGACAGAAACUCUAGAGAUACUACAGAGGAACUAGAAAAACAAUAUAAAUCCUGAAACUGAGUAUGAUUCCCCAUCUUUAAAAACUAUCCUCCACUAUUCAUGGUCUGGCUUCACUUUUAUUAUCACUGACUGAACCUUUAAAUCUAAAACUUUACCCAGCUGUUUCUCCUGACUGCCUUUUUCUGAAGGUUCAACCCUAUGAUGCAUAUUUGCCAUUGCAAAACAGAGGCUUCACAGUCCAAUUUAUUUACAUUUUAUUUUCAGUAACAAGCUGCUGUAUUUAAUGAUUUGGGAUUGGCUUUUCAUUUAUAUAAGGAAAAUGAAUUUAAACUAUUACAUUACAGUCACAUAGACUCAUUUUAUGUUGGUUAUGAGCUGCUCAAGACCUCACAAAUAGCUUUUGUGAUCUCUUUUUAAAAACGGAAGUUCAUUUUUCCAGGUCAGAAUCUGCUCAAUCUAAUCCUAUUUAUGUUGAACCAAAACUCUUCAAUAACCUCAAUAAGCACAAACUCUUGUUUUCCUCCAUAACGUGCAGUAUUCAGUGUUGUUACGCAGUUACUUUCACCCAGCUUUGCACUUUGAUGAAUUUUGUGUCAUUGAGUUGGAGUUUUGUAUAAUUUGUAAAUUCAGUCCUACAGUCCAUAUGAGAGUAUCUGUGUUGUUGAUUUUAGUCCUCUGUUCUUGUCAUAGUUUGUAUUAUUAGGUAUGAAGUGAAUAAAAUGUUGGGGACCUCCUGGAGCUUUCACAAGGGCCCCCCUGUCGUUCCCCCUCAUGGACUCUUUGGGACUUCUGAAAACCCUUUUACAACAUGAUGUUUCUGCAAAGUGUCUAUUUUUGGGGCCUGAGGUUGAAUGUUUUUCUGAGCACACACACACACACACACACACACACACACACACACACACACACACACACACACACACACACACACACACACACACACAGAUGCACAAGCUCGUCAUCGCCCUGAAUGCGUUGCCAUGGCUACCCCAGUCUCACCUGGGUUGCUGCACCCCGGGUGAUCCCGAAAGGUAAAUGGAGCUGAAUGAUCUUCGGAAGCCUGAUUCUUUUCAAUACGGAAACACCUGGCGAGGGGGCGGCGGCCAUUUUGAUAGUUCUGUGUUUUUCCUUUCCUCUGCCUGACUGACUGACUGCGCCUCCCCCUCCUCCACCCUCCUCCUUCACCUCUUAUCCUGGCAGGUGCUCAGCUGAAUGGGACAUCAUCGCCGUGGAGAUUGAAGCGAUGACACACAUGCACACACACAGUUCACACAAACACACGCACGCACACACACGCACACACGCACACACACACACACACAGAGGACCGGGAAAUGAGGCUGGCUUUUGUGAGCGAGCGGCUGCACAGUCUGACUCGAUGAAAAGUUGUCUCUCUGGAGAGGAGACAGGCGUGUGGAUUGAGCUGUCACAGAAAGGGAACUCUGCUCUGCUCUCUCAUCCCUCUGUGUGAAAACGGACGCAUCUCUCUUUCCCUUUUUUUCUGUCAGAUGUAAACCUUUCCUCCGGGUAAUUCCAAACUAAAGCCCGAGCUCGGGAGACAAGCAGGUGGAGAUAAACACUCUCCAUUUAAAGAACAUUGACGAGGAUGAAACCUCCUAUCGCCCCCCCCUCCCCCCCGCUUCCUGUCUAAAGCAUGUCAGUGUACAGUUUCAGAGCGAAAGAGGCUAACCUCCACAGGGCUUUCCCCUCUCUCUCCCAUUUUAGUGUGUGAUCCAUCCUCGCACUCCUGUGCUUUCUGCCUGUCGGACUGUCGGUGAAACUUUGACUGUUUGAACCCCAGCCAGGCUCUCCCCCUCCACACAAUAAAACAUUAGUCGAUAGAGAUCGGUGGUUGAUUGGUUCUGAAGUGUGUUGGUGAAAAACUAUGUAUCUCCAGGGGGGCAUAUAUGCAGCCCCGCAUGACAUCUUUCUAUUUCUGAUCAUUUGUUGACAUUUUGCCCUGCUGAAUGUGCCCCCGAGGGGAUCUGAAACAGUCCAUGCCUCUGCUGUGUUCACCUGUGAAUAAUAAAAUAAAUGUACAAGCUGACAUUUCCUUA
rnacentral:lncRNA from 1 species